rnacentral:rRNA from 1 species
CGAGCACGCGCGUGUGGCAUAUCAAUAAGCGGAGGAAAAGAAACUAACAAGGAUUCCCUUAGUAACGGCGAGUGAAGCGGGAAGAGCUCAAAUUUGAAAUCUUCAAGGUUCUACCUUGACGAAUUGUAGUUUAUAGAAGUGUUUUCUGUUAGUAGAGUGGCAAAAGUUCUUUGGAAUAGGACAUCAUAGAGGGUGAGAAUCCCGUAUUUGGUCAUUCUUUCUAGCUUUGUGAUACACUUUCAACGAGUCGGAUUGUUUGGGAAUGCAGUCCAAAAUGGGUGGUAAAUUUCAUCUAAAGCUAAAUAUUGGCGAGAGACCGAUAGCGAACAAGUACCGUGAGGGAAAGAUGAAAAGAACUUUGAAAAGAGAGUUAAACAGUACGUGAAAUUGUCAAAAGGGAAGCGUUUGACACCAGUGUUGUUUUUCCGAAAAUCAAUUACGAAUGUUUUGUUUUUGAGAAGUUAUGACUUCAUCGGCUUGCUUCUUUCUUUACGAAACUUUCUUAAUGCACUUUUCGGUUAACAAGUCAACAUCAAUUUCUUUUGUUGUAAAAGGGUAUGAGGAAGGUGGCUUUCUUUUCGGAGAAAGUGUUUAUAGCCUUGUACCUCUGCAAUCGGAGAGAUUGAGGUCUGCAGCGUAGAUCCUUCGGGGUUAGAUACAUUUGUGCUAAGUUAUAGCUUUUCAUAGACAACUUGUUGACUAUGUUAAGUCUUGUAGCUUACUCGCUUAUGCUAUUUUACCUACGCUUAGGAUGUUGAACUCUAUCACACACAG